UGAGGAAUAUUGGUCAAUGGGUGCAAGCCUGAACCAGCCAUCCCGCGUGAAGGACGACUGCCCUAUGGGUUGUAAACUUCUUUUGUAUAGGGAUAAACCUACCCUCGUGAGGGUAGCUGAAGGUACUAUACGAAUAAGCACCGGCUAACUCCGUGCCAGCAGCCGCGGUAAUACGGAGGGUGCAAGCGUUAUCCGGAUUUAUUGGGUUUAAAGGGUCCGUAGGCGGACUUAUAAGUCAGUGGUGAAAGCCUGUCGCUUAACGAUAGAAAUGCCAUUGAUACUGUAAGUCUUGAGUAUAUUUGAGGUAGCUGGAAUAAGUAGUGUAGCGGUGAAAUGCAUAGAUAUUACUUAGAACACCAAUUGCGAAGGCAGGUUACCAAGAUAUAACUGACGCUGAGGGACGAAAGCGUGGGGAGCGAACA
rnacentral:rRNA from 1 species